CCAACAUAUUAGAUAUCUUUUGUGAAAUAAGUUUUACCUUUUUGGUCAAAUAGAAUAUUUAUUGUUUGGUAUGAUAGCAUGAAUUAAAAACAAAGGAAUCCUGAAGAUGAAACUAUGUCCACCAAUAAGUUGAGCAACGACUAGAACAUGAAAACAUAUCUCAAUCUUACAUAGAACAAGAAAACUAGGUGCAAACUUUUCUUUUUCUUUCCUUUUUUCUUUUUCCUUUUUCUCCCCCAUUUUUCCUUUUUUUUUUUUUUUUUUUAGAGGAGAAUUAGUUCAUCUCCAGACAGUGGAGGCUCUCUAGAGCUGUCCAUCAGCAACUGUCUUUGUGGCAACUAAUUGGCAUACCAGAAAACUUCAUCUAUGUAUUUGCAAUCUGCACAUUAACAGUCAAGAGGAGACAGUAUCGGAGACUACAGAUGCUUCUGUUUGUAACAAUGAGGGUUUUUUAAAGCAGAUGAAGAGCCAAGCAACAGUCUUUUAGUGUUCACAUCUACUGUCUGAUUUUCUUACUAUGCAGGCACAGUAGUGAAUGCCAAUAUAUGAGAAAUACCAGGUUUCCAUGUCACUAAUGAACCAAAAUACUGGAAGAGCAGAGAUGGAUUAUCCAGACUUGAGAGUGAAUAUCCAAAUAAGUAAGAGGUUUUUAAGGUUCUUUCAACCAUCCAAGAGACUAACGAGCGACAGAACUCCUAUGGAAGCCUUUUCAUCUUCAGACUUCCUUGUUAAUUGUACUCCGAUUUGAAAUCUGCAACCCCAAACCCAAGUCAAUCAUUUCAAUGCAGCAACUGCUGUUUCACUGCCUUUGCUGUGUCAAUAAAAUAUCAGUUAUUACUCGAG
rnacentral:lncRNA from 1 species